UAGGGAAUCUUCGGCAAUGGGGGGAACCCUGACCGAGCAACGCCGCGUGAGUGAAGAAGGUUUUCGGAUCGUAAAGCUCUGUUGUUAAGGAAGAACGAGUGUGAGAAUGGAAAGUUCAUACUGUGACGGUACUUAACCAGAAAGGGACGGCUAACUACGUGCCAGCAGCCGCGGUAAUACGUAGGUCCCGAGCGUUGUCCGGAUUUAUUGGGCGUAAAGCGAGCGCAGGCGGUUAGAUAAGUCUGAAGUUAAAGGCAGUGGCUCAACCAUUGUAGGCUUUGGAAACUGUUUAACUUGAGUGCAGAAGGGGAGAGUGGAAUUCCAUGUGUAGCGGUGAAAUGCGUAAAUAUAUGGAGGAACACCGGUGGCGAAAGCGGCUCUCUGGUCUGUAACUAACGCUGAGGCUCGAAAGCGUGGGGAGCGAACAGG
rnacentral:rRNA from 1 species